rnacentral:rRNA from 1 species
GAUGAACGCUGGCGGCGUGCUUAACACAUGCAAGUCGAGCGAGAAGUUUUGAAAAGAUUCUUCGGAUGAAAUUUAAAAUGGAGAGCGGCGGACGGGUGAGUAACGCGUAGGCAACCUGCCCCAUACAAAGGGAUAGCAUUUGGAAACGAAUAUUAAUACCUUAUGAAACUUAACUAGUGCAUGCUAGGUAGGUCAAAGAUUUAUCGGUAUGGGAUGGGCCUGCGUCUGAUUAGCUAGUUGGUGAGGUAACGGCUCACCAAGGCGACGAUCAGUAGCCGACCUGAGAGGGUGAACGGCCACAUUGGAACUGAGACACGGUCCAAACUCCUACGGGAGGCAGCAGUGGGGAAUAUUGCACAAUGGGGGAAACCCUGAUGCAGCAACGCCGCGUGAACGAUGAAGGCCUUUGGGUCGUAAAGUUCUGUUCUAGGUGANGAAAGCNGACAG